GGAAAGAGAAGAAGGCAGUGAUCGUUUUAAAGAGAAGAGCAGGGAGAGACAUGCAGAGGGCCUCCUCACUGACUUCCCAGGGCGCGGAACACAGGACUCUAGGAGGCCUGAUGCCCAAGAGAUGGGCCAGAAAGCCAUGUAACAAGCCAGGAAAAAUAGGAAAAAAUGCAGUCAGAUGGAAGAAGCCCUGGCUGGGCAAGG
rnacentral:lncRNA from 1 species